rnacentral:lncRNA from 1 species
CUUAUUUGUUAUGGUUGUCAUGUGGGUUUUAUGUUUUUAUUGAAGACAUUUACGAGGGCGCACGCUGUCACCUCUCAGAAAUGGAAGGAAAUGUUCUACUCUUGAGGAGACUAAGGAACAGCAAGGAAGUCAGGUGGCUAGAGCAAAGCAAGUAAGAGGACGAUCUCAUUGUCUGAAUGUGGUAAUCUGGUAAGUUUCAAUUAUUUGAUACUUUUUCAGAGGCCAGGGGUCCUUCCCGAGAAAGGAACUCAGAUAAAACAAAUGUAAGUUUU